rnacentral:rRNA from 1 species
UAAGCCAUGCAUGUCUAAGUAUAAGCAAUUAUACGGCGAAACUGCGAAUGGCUCAUUAAAUCAGUUAUCGUUUAUUUGAUAGUACCUUACUACUUGGAUAACCGUGGUAAUUCUAGAGCUAAUACAUGCUAAAAAUCCCGACUCACGGAGGGAUGUAUUUAUUAGAUUAAAAACCAAUGCCCCUCGGGGCUUCUUGGUGAUUCAUAAUAACUUCUCGAAUCGCAUGGCCUUGCGCCGGCGAUGGUUCAUUCAAAUUUCUGCCCUAUCAACUUUCGAUGGCAGGGUCUUGGCCUGCCAUGGUUACAACGGGUAACGGAGGGUUAGGGCUCGACCCCGGAGAAGGAGCCUGAGAAACGGCUACUACAUCCAAGGAAGGCAGCAGGCGCGCAAAUUACCCAAUCCCGACACGGGGAGGUAGUGACAAUAAAUACUGAUACAGGGCUCUUUUGGGUCUUGUAAUUGGAAUGAGUACAAUUUAAAUCCCUUAACGAGGAACAAUUGGAGGGCAAGUCUGGUGCCAGCAGCCGCGGUAAUUCCAGCUCCAAUAGCGUAUAUUAAAGUUGUUGCAGUUAAAAAGCUCGUAGUUGAACCUUGGGCCUGGCUGGCCGGUCCGCCUCACCGCGUGCACUGGUUCGGCCGGGCCUUUCCCUCUGGGGAGCCCUAUGCCCUUCACUGGGUGUAGUGGGGAACCAGGACUUUUACUGUGAAAAAAUUAGAGUGUUCAAAGCAGGCCUAUGCUCGAAUACAUCAGCAUGGAAUAAUAGAAUAGGACGUGUGGUUCUAUUUUGUUGGUUUCUAGGACCGCCGUAAUGAUUAAUAGGGACAGUCGGGGGCAUCAGUAUUCAAUUGUCAGAGGUGAAAUUCUUGGAUUUAUUGAAGACUAACUACUGCGAAAGCAUUUGCCAAGGAUGUUUUCAUUAAUCAUGAACGAAAGUUAGGGGAUCGAAGACGAUCAGAUACCGUCGUAGUCUUAACCAUAAACUAUGCCGACUAGGGAUCGGACGAUGUUAUUUUUUGACUCGUUCGGCACCUUACGAGAAAUCAAAGUCUUUGGGU